rnacentral:tRNA from 1 species
GGCACUGUGGCUCAAGUGGUAGAGUGCUAGCCUUGAGUGCUAGCCUUGAGUGCUAGCCUUGAGCUGAAGAGCUCAGGGACAGUGCCC